GAGAGAGAGCUUCAUAUCCUUCCAAACGAGCCGGAACAACAUGCAUGCAAAGACCGCUCCGAUCAACGCAGCAGCAUCCCAUUGCAGCAACAACCAAGGAGCCUGGAAUCAGAGAUUAUCGAUGUUUGGGGGAUAAAUAUAAAUUAUUAUAUUUAUAUUUAAGAGAAAGAGAUCAAAAUCAAAAGAGAGUGAUGAGAGUUUUGAUACGAAGCUGAGAGAUUAGGAAAGGAAGAAGGAUCGUGG
rnacentral:lncRNA from 1 species